rfam:Pseudomonas putida strain TASWS0946 Contig167, whole genome shotgun sequence.
CCGCCCAAUGCGCCGCCGAUACCGGCUUCGGUGGAGCCACCUGCCGAGGCAACGCCACUGAGCAGGCCGAGAGACAACAGCAGAAUCGAGGAGUACUUCAUAAGGGAGCCUCAAAGGGAUGACGAGGCGAUCCUGAGGCUCUGCAACACGCGCUGGCAACGCAAAUCCGACGAUUGGCACGACGUGUAUACAAUUUUAUAAGUUACUGUUUUUACAGUGAAACUUAAUGCGUUUUUGCGGGUCUGAGCUUACUUGGGACGAAGGCCCUGGCAGUGAUGCCAGGGCCUUUUUCUUGCCUGCAGUUAUGCGCUGAACGAACUGCUGGCAAGCCAGCUCCCACAGCGUUCUGCAUGCGCCGCAAGACCCUGUGGGAGCCGGCG